rnacentral:piRNA from 1 species
UGGGCAGGGUGUGGAAAGGCUGG